rnacentral:rRNA from 1 species
AUGAAGCUUUGCAAGAGGACAAUGAUGAGUAUGCGGACGAUGACAAUGAAGUUGAUCUCCAUGACAACAAUGUGGGUGAUCUCGACAAAUAUCAUUUGCAAGAGACAAUGGACCAUUCCAUCCGUUUUUCCCGUGCAUGCAUCGGACUCGGAUGACGAUGGUCCCGAUGAACAAGUUGAUGCGGAGGGCUUCACGGUGAAGGAGGGCGAAGCUUUCGAGAAGGUAUUUGGUCGGGAUCAUCGGACUACAUUGUUCAAGGAUGUUAGUCUCGCGGAUGAAGCCGUGGUAGAUGGUGGCCAAUGUGUACCUCUUGGGGUUAGGCCAAGCUCUCACCGUGAUUUGGUAGAUGACAAGAACCGGAUUGCUAACGGUUCUAAGUUCGACACCUUGUUGGAAUUGAAGAUAUGGCUCGACAACUAUUCGGUUACGCAUUAUCGUUCACACAAGGUGGUGAACUCGGACGUUAAUGUGCGCUACAUGGUUGCAUGUGCAUGUGAAGAUGAAAUAUGUCCGUGGAUUGUGCGUGCAAGACCAUGGAAAGGAGGUCCAACUUGUCAUGUAGUGAGUUGUGUGCCAACUCACUUGUGCCAAGGCAAAAUGGUGGAUGGCAAGAUUGUGUCCCAAGACCACAAACAACUCACGUCCGAGUUCAUCGCUUACAGGCUCUCCAACUCAAUAUCCACACUUCCAACAAUGAGCGUCCAACAUGUCAUUGAUCUUGUGAAAGCCAUCUUUCAUUACAAGGUGAAAUACGGCAAGGCAUGGAAGGCGAAGCAAGCCGCAUUUAAGAUGUUGUAUGGUACAUGGGAGGAAGCAUACAACCGAAUCCCUAGGUUGUUGUUAGCCAUAGCCGCGACAAACCCGGGCAUGGUUCAUGUGGUCGAGCCUCAUGGGCACCAAACAACGGUUCAUGAAGGAAGGAAAGUCAGAGUAUUUGGCCGUGCUUUUUGGGCGUUCGAGCAAUGUGUGAGGGCUUUCGAACAUUGUAGGCCGGUCAUCGCAAUUGAUGGCACGUUCUUGACCGGACAAUACAAGGGCACCUUGUUGGUUGCGAUAGCAAGUGAUGCCAAUAACCGGGUGUUGCCAUUGGCAUUUGCUUUGGUUGAGGUGGAAAACAAUGACAACUAG